UACCUGUACUUCGACUGCCGACUAUUCACACGAGAAUUCCUAAUGAUAACUGCUGCUCAAAGGCCGGAGAUUCUUUAUAUGAGUAACUCCUCUGGUGAUAGCGGGCAUCGAAGGAGGCUACAAACUUUAUAUAUAUUUUCUUGUAAGACGACAGCAGUGAAACUAUGAAGUAUAAACUCUCCGAGAUUUUUUUAGUUAUGUCCAACCAUGGCCUGCUAAGAACCUUGGACAAAGGUGCCCACAUAUCCAAAUCCGACGACGAAGAAAGCUGUUGCUUGGAAGAAGAGAUAGAGGAAGUAGUGAUUCUUUCCAAAGGCCAGAUCGUAGCAACCACAGAAGAACAGGUAGGCUCCAA
rnacentral:misc_RNA from 1 species